GACGAACGCUGGCGGCGUGCUUAACACAUGCAAGUCGAACGAAGAGCGAUGGGAGCUUGCUUCUAUCAAUCUUAGUGGCGAACGGGUGAGUAACGCGUAAUCAACCUGCCCUUCAGAGGGGGACAACAGUUGGAAACGACUGCUAAUACCGCAUACGAUCUAAUCUCGGCAUCGAGGAUAGAUGAAAGGUGGCCUCUACAUGUAAGCUAUCACUGAAGGAGGGGAUUGCGUCUGAUUAGCUAGUUGGAGGGGUAACGGCCCACCAAGGCGAUGAUCAGUAGCCGGUCUGAGAGGAUGAACGGCCACAUUGGGACUGAGACACGGCCCAGACUCCUACGGGAGGCAGCAGUGGGGAAUCUUCCGCAAUGGACGAAAGUCUGACGGAGCAACGCCGCGUGAGUGAUGACGGCCUUCGGGUUGUAAAGCUCUGUUAAUCGGGACGAAAGGCCUUCUUGCGAACAGUUAGAAGGAUUGACGGUACCGGAAUAGAAAGCCACGGCUAACUACGUG
rnacentral:rRNA from 1 species